rnacentral:rRNA from 1 species
AUUGAACGCUGGCGGCAGGCCUAACACAUGCGAGUCGAGCGGAUGAGAGGAGCUUGCUUCUCGAUUCAGCGGCGGACGGGUGAGUAAUGCCUAGGAAUCUGCCUGGUAGUGGGGGACAACGUUUCGAAAGGAACGCUAAUACCGCAUACGUCCUACGGGAGAAAGCAGGGGACCUUCGGGCCUUGCGCUAUCAGAUGAGCCUAGGUCGGAUUAGCUAGUUGGUGAGGUAAUGGCUCACCAAGGCGACGAUCCGUAACUGGUCUGAGAGGAUGAUCAGUCACACUGGAACUGAGACACGGUCCAGACUCCUACGGGAGGCAGCAGUGGGGGAUAUUGGACAAUGGGCGAAAGCCUGAUCCAGCCAUGCCGCGUGUGUGAAGAAGGUCUUCGGAUUGUAAAGCACUUUAAGUUGGGAGGAAGGGUUGUAGAUUAAUACUCUGCAAUUUUGACGUUACCGACAGAAUAAGCACCGGCUAACUCUGUGCCAGCCGCCGCAGUAAUAC